GACGAACGCUGGCGGCGUGCCUAAUACAUGCAAGUUGAGCGCUGAAGGUUGGUCCUUGUACCAACUGGAUGAGCAGCGAACGGGUGAGUAACGCGUGGGGAAUCUGCCUUUUAGCGGGGGACAACAUUUGGAAACGAAUGCUAAUACCGCAUAAAAACUUUAAACACAAGUUUUAAGUUUGAAAGAUGCAAUUGCAUCACUCAAAGAUGAUCCCGCGUUGUAUUAGCUAGUUGGUGAGGUAAAGGCUCACCAAGGCGAUGAUACAUAGCCGACCUGAGAGGGUGAUCGGCCAAAUUGGGACUGAGACACGGCCCAAACUCCUACGGGAGGCAGCAGUAGGGAAUCUUCGGCAAUAGACGAAAGGCUGACCGAGCAACGCCGCGUGAGGGAAGAAGGUUUUCGGAUCGUAAAACUCUGUUGGUAGAGAAGAACGUUGGUGAGAGUGGAAAGCUCAUCAAGUGACGGUAACUACCCAGAAAGGGACGGCUAACUACGUG
rnacentral:rRNA from 1 species